UACGAAGGGGGCUAGCGUUGCUCGGAAUCACUGGGCGUAAAGGGUGCGUAGGCGGGUCUUUAAGUCAGGGGUGAAAUCCUGGAGCUCAACUCCAGAACUGCCUUUGAUACUGAAGAUCUUGAGUUCGGGAGAGGUGAGUGGAACUGCGAGUGUAGAGGUGAAAUUCGUAGAUAUGCGCAAGAACACCAGUGGCGAAGGCGGCUCACUGGCCCGAUACUGACGCUGAGGCACGAAAGCGUGGGGAGCAAACAGG
rnacentral:rRNA from 1 species